rnacentral:rRNA from 1 species
UAGAGUUUGAUCCUGGCUCAGGACAAACGCUGGCGGGGUGCGUGAGACAUGCAAGUCGAACGAGGUGCCAUCGGGCUUGCUCGAUGGCUACCUAGUGGCGGACGGCUGAGUAACGCGUAGGUGACCUACCCGGAAGUGGGGAAUAACUGCCCGAAAGGGUGGCUAAUACCGCAUGUGGUCGGCGAUUCGAUUCGCCGUCUAAAGGAGCAAUCCGCUUCCGGAGGGGCCUGCGUCCGAUUAGCUAGUUGGUGGGGUAACGGCUCACCAAGGCGACGAUCGGUAGCUGGUCUGAGAGGAUGAUCAGCCAGACUGGGACUGAGAACGGCCCAGACUCCUACGGGAGGCAGCAGUCGGGAAUUUUGCCCAAUGGACGAAAGUCUGAGGCAGCAACUCCGCGUGAGGGAUGAAGGCUCUCGGGUCGUAAACCUCUUUUCUCAGGGAAGAUCCAAGACGGUACCUGAGGAAUAAGCCACGGCUAACUACGUGCCAGCAGCCGAGGUAAUACGUAGGUGGCAAGCGUUGUCCGGAUUUACUGGGCGUAAAGAGCGCGCAGGCGGCUGGUCAAGUCCGAUGUGAAAUCUCCCGGCUCAACUGGGAAACUGCAUCGGAAACUGAUCGGCUUGAAGGUGGGAGAGGGUAGUGGAAUUCCCGGUGUAGUGGUGAAAUGCGUAGAUAUCGGGAGGAACACCAGUGGCGAAGGCGACUACCUGGCCCAUUCUUGACGCUGAGGCGCGAAAGCUAGGGGAGCGAACGGGAUUAGAUACCCCGGUAGUCCUAGCCGUAAACGAUGAACACUAGGCGUAGUCGGUAUCGACCCCGGCUGUGCCGUAGCCAACGCAUUAAGUGUUCCGCCUGGGGAGUACGGCCGCAAGGCUAAAACUCAAAGGAAUUGACGGGGGCCCG